rnacentral:tRNA from 1 species
GGGGGCGUAGCUCAAUUGGGAGAGCGCAACGUUCGCAACGUUGAGGUAGUGGGUUCGAAUCCCAUCGCCUCCACCA